CACGGGGGGAGCAAGCGUUGUUCGGAAUCACUGGGCGUAAAGGGCGUGUAGGCGGUCAGGUUAGUGAGAUGUGAAACGCCCCGGCUCACCCGGGGACCUGCAUCUCAAACUGCCUGGCUUGAGUAUGGGAGAGGAUGAGGGAAUUCCUGGUGUAGCGGUGAAAUGCGUAGAUAUCAGGAGGAACACCGGUGGCGAAGGCGGGGUCCUGGGCCAGUACUGACGCUGAGGAGCGAAAGCGUGGGGAGCAAACAGG
rnacentral:rRNA from 1 species